GACAGACAGACGGAGGCAGACACACAAUGACAUGGCUAUGGAGGCAAACAGAAAUACAUAGAUGGAGACAGAAGUACAAAUAGACAAUGACAUGAUGGAUGCAAAUCUGUCCCUGAGAGUGACUAAUCACAAGACAAAUAUGGAAGAAAGGGAAGGAGACAAGGAAAAUAUGAAAGGAACAAUUAAAAGUAAAAGAGGCAUAGUAUAUUUGGGGAAAAAGAUGUAGAAAGAACAAGAGUAUUUGAAAACAAUUAGGAAAGUAUCAGGUAAAAAGUAGCAGGUAGUCAUUAUGAGGAGCAGGUAGUCAUUAUGAGGAGCAGGUAGUCAUUAUGAGGAGCAGGUAGUCAUUAUGAGGAGCAGGUGGUCAUUAUGAGGAGCAGGUGGUCAUUAUGAGGAGCAGGUGGUCAUUAUGAGGAGCAGGUCAUCAUUAUGAGGAGCAGGUAGUCAUUAUGAGGAGCAGGUGGUCAUUAUGAGGAGCAGGUGGUCAUUAUGAGGAGCAGGUGGUCAUUAUGAGGAGCAGGUGGUCAUUAUGAGGAGCAGGUAGUCAUUAUGAGGAGCAGGUAGUCAUUAUGAGGAGCAGGUAGUCAUUAUGAGGAGCAGGUCAUCAUUAUGAGGAGCAGGUCAUCAUUAUGAGGAGCAGGUAGUCAUUAUGAGGAGCAGGUAGUCAUUAUGAGGAGCAGGUAGUCACUAUGAGGAGCAGGUAGUCAUUAUGAGGAGCAGGUGGUCAUUAUGAGGAGCAGGUGGUCAUUAUGAGGAGCAGGUGGUCAUUAUGAGGAGCAGGUGGUCAUUAUGAGGAGCAGGUGGUCAUUAUGAGGAGCAGGUGGUCAUUAUGAGGAGCAGGUAGUCAUUAUGAGGAGCAGGUAGUCAUUAUGAGGAGCAGGUAGUCAUUAUGAGGAGCAGGUAGUCAUUAUGAGGAGCAGGUAGUCAUUAUGAGGAGCAGGUCAUCAUUAUGAGGAGCAGGUCAUCAUUAUGAGGAGCAGGUAGUCAUUAUGAGGAGCAGGUAGUCAUUAUGAGGAGCAGGUGGUCAUUAUGAGGAGCAGGUGGUCAUUAUGAGGAGCAGGUGGUCAUUAUGAGGAGCAGGUAGUCAUUAUGAGGAGCAGGUAGUCAUUAUGAGGAGCAGGUAGUCAUUAUGAGGAGCAGGUCAUCAUUAUGAGGAGCAGGUAGUCAUUAUGAGGAGCAGGUCGUCAUUAUGAGUAGCAGGUCGUCCCAUUCAGAGCACAUGGAAGCAAAGCAUAUGGCCACUUUACAACCUCACAGUAGAAACAAAGGACACAACAAAACAGGCAACAAGUAAAAUAAAAACAUGCAACUACACAAGACAGUGUAGUCUAAUAAUGAC